rnacentral:lncRNA from 12 species
UCACUAUGGGCAGAUCCUCAGUCAUUGGAAGACAGGACUACAAUUCAUUUUUUCUCAUCUGCUUGAACAACUGGAAGAUUAAUAGCUCCUUGCCCUCAAGGUAGGGAAAUAUUUUUUCUUUUGCUAAUUAUUCCACCUUAG